GCCUUCGUGGUGUAGUGGUCAGCACGCUUGACGCGUAUUCGAGAGGUCCGUGGUUCGAUUCCCGGCAAGGGCA
rnacentral:tRNA from 1 species